CAUUCAUAAUCUUAGAUUUUUUAUGAUUCCGAGGUUAAUCAUUUUUUUUUUUGUCAAAAUUAUCCUUUCAGUGUUUUUACGCCGACGACUUGCAAGUUGUUCUCCAGCGGCUUGCGAGGCAAGUAGCGAAGCAAAGGCGAGUGAAGUAGGCGGCGAGCAAUGUCAAGCAACGGGGCGAGCGACGAGCAACGACCGAGGCGAAGCUCGCGGUGGCGGCGACGCAACCCAGCCGGCAGUGAUAGCGGGAGCAAAGGAAGAUGAAAGGCAAUGAUUUUUUGGCUUGGGCUUUGUAGCCUAAAUAGUAGAUGAAACCCUAAUACUCACCUUUUAGUUCCAUUCGCCGCGGCUGAGUCACACAGUCACGACCUCCUCUGUCGAAGAAGGAGAAAGCCCCACCUCCGUCUUCGAAGCUGACCAAAUCUGAGGGAGGCAAGCCCCGCCUCUAUCUAGCCAUUUUCAAGCACUAAAUAGGCACUGAAGAAGGAGAAAGCUCCACCUCCAUCUUCGAAGUCGGUCAAAUCUGGGGGAGACAAGCCCUACCUCUAUCUAGCCAUUUUCAUGCACUAAACAGGUGACGAAGAAGGACAAAGCCCUACCUCCAUCUUCAAAGCCGACCAAAUUGGAGAAGUGGAGCAAGGGAAAUCAGAAGGAGAAGGUGAACAAUGUGAUUCUCUUUGACUAAGUGAACUACGAUAAGAUGCUCUUCGAAGUUCCCAAAUACAAGCAAAUCACCCCUUCAGUGUUGUCUGAGGGAUUGCGGGAACAUAGGAGCACAGGAAGUCGAGUGGAAGAUGCAACUAGCGAGAAGGAGGGCAUGGGAG